rnacentral:rRNA from 1 species
UAUAUAGGUAACGUGCCUCUUAGUCUGGGAUAGCCAUUGGAAACGAUGAUUAAUACUAGAUACUCCUUCUCAUUAUAAUUUGAGUCGGGAAAGUUUUUCGCUAAGAGAUCGGCCUAUAUCCCAUCAGUUAGUUGGUAAGGUAACGGCUUACCAAGGCAAUGACGGGUAGCGGGUUUGAGAGGAUGAUCCGCCACACUGGUACUGAGACACGGACCAGACUCCUACGGGAGCAGCAGUGAGGAAUAUUGCACAAUGGAGGAAACUCUGAUGCAGCAACGCCGCGUGGAGGAUGACACAUUUCGGUGCGUAAACUCCUUUUAUAUGGGAAGAUAAUGACGGUACCAUAUGAAUAAGCACCGGGCUAACUCCGUGCCAGCCGCUGCGG